rnacentral:piRNA from 1 species
UACACAGACAGUCUGGCCUCCAGUCAAGU